rnacentral:rRNA from 1 species
CACUAUCGUUAACUGAAUACAUAGGUUAACGAGGCGAACCGGGGGAACUGAAACAUCUAAGUACCCCGAGGAAAAGAAAUCAACCGAGAUUCCCCCAGUAGCGGCGAGCGAACGGGGAGCAGCCCAGAGUCUGAAUCAGCUUGUGUGUUAGUGGAACGGUCUGGAAAGUCCGACGGUACAGGGUGAUAGUCCCGUACACCAAAAUGCACAGGUUGUGAACUCGAAGAGUAGGGCGGGACACGUGGUAUCCUGUCUGAAUAUGGGGGGACCAUCCUCCAAGGCUAAAUACUCCUGACUGACCGAUAGUGAACCAGUACCGUGAGGGAAAGGCGAAAAGAACCCCGGCGAGGGGAGUGAAAAAGAACCUGAAACCGUGUACGUACAAGCAGUGGGAGCACCUUCGGGUGUGACUGCGUACCUUUUGUAUAAUGGGUCAGCGACUUAUAUUCUGUAGCAAGGUUAACCGUAUAGGGGAGCCGCAGGGAAACCGAGUCUUAACUGGGCGUUAAGUUGCAGGGUAUAGACCCGAAACCCGGUGAUCUAGCCAUGGGCAGGUUGAAGGUUGGGUAACACUAACUGGAGGACCGAACCGACUAAUGUUGAAAAAUUAGCGGAUGACUUGUGGCUGGGGGUGAAAGGCCAAUCAAACCGGGAGAUAGCUGGUUCUCCCCGAAAGCUAUUUAGGUAGCGCCUCGUGAACUCAUCUUCGGGGGUAGAGCACUGUUUCGGCUAGGGGGUCAUCCCGACUUACCAACCCGAUGCAAACUACGAAUACCGAAGAAUGUUAUCACGGGAGACACACGGCGGGUGCUAACGUCCGUCGUGAAGAGGGAAACAACCCAGACCGCCAGCUAAGGUCCCAAAGUCAUGGUUAAGUGGGAAACGAUGUGGGAAGGCACAGACAGCCAGGAUGUUGGCUUAGAAGCAGCCAUCAUUUAAAGAAAGCGUAAUAGCUCACUGGUCGAGUCGGCCUGCGCGGAAGAUGUAACGGGGCUAAACCAUGCACCGAAGCUGCGGCAGCGACACUAUGUGUUGUUGGGUAGGGGAGCGUUCUGUAAGCCUGCGAAGGUGGCCUGUGAGGGCUGCUGGAGGUAUCAGAAGUGCGAAUGCUGACAUAAGUAACGAUAAAGCGGGUGAAAAGCCCGCUCGCCGGAAGACCAAGGGUUCCUGUCCAACGUUAAUCGGGGCAGGGUGAGUCGACCCCUAAGGCGAGGCCGAAAGGCGUAGUCGAUGGGAAACAGGUUAAUAUUCCUGUACUUGGUGUUACUGCGAAGGGGGGACGGAGAAGGCUAUGUUAGCCGGGCGACGGUUGUCCCGGUUUAAGCAUGUAGGCGGAGGUUCCAGGUAAAUCCGGUACCUUUUAACGCUGAGGUGUGAUGACGAGGCACUACGGUGCUGAAGUAACAAAUGCCCUGCUUCCAGGAAAAGCCUCUAAGCAUCAGGUAACAUUAAAUCGUACCCCAAACCGACACAGGUGGUCAGGUAGAGAAUACCAAGGCGCUUGAGAGAACUCGGGUGAAGGAACUAGGCAAAAUGGUGCCGUAACUUCGGGAGAAGGCACGCUGGUGUGUAGGUGAAGUCCCUGCGGAUGGAGCUGAGACCAGUCGAAGAUACCAGCUGGCUGCAACUGUUUAUUAAAAACACAGCACUGUGCAAACACGAAAGUGGACGUAUACGGUGUGACGCCUGCCCGGUGCCGGAAGGUUAAUUGAUGGGGUUAUCCGUAAGGAGAAGCUCUUGAUCGAAGCCCCGGUAAACGGCGGCCGUAACUAUAACGGUCCUAAGGUAGCGAAAUUCCUUGUCGGGUAAGUUCCGACCUGCACGAAUGGCGUAAUGAUGGCCAGGCUGUCUCCACCCGAGACUCAGUGAAAUUGAACUCGCUGUGAAGAUGCAGUGUACCCGCGGCAAGACGGAAAGACCCCGUGAACCUUUACUAUAGCUUGACACUGAACAUUGAGCCUUGAUGUGUAGGAUAGGUGGGAGGCUUUGAAGCGUGGACGCCAGUCUGCGUGGAGCCAACCUUGAAAUACCACCCUUUAAUGUUUGAUGUUCUAACGU